rnacentral:lncRNA from 1 species
UAUUAAUUCAUUUGUAAAAAAAUUUCAUGCAAGUUCAUGGUGUGGACAUGGUGUACGGUAGAUGAAAGCUUUACAAACCAGCUCGUACCUCAUGUACCAGAUGCACCGGCCAGUUAUUUAAAAACCCAUUAGGCUGCUAAUCAUUGUGGGGACACACUGUAGACCAGUUGAACAACUCAUUUAAGUCCAGCCAUAACAUUGUUAAACUACUACUCAUUUGAUACGGAGCCAAGGGAACUACGACC